rnacentral:rRNA from 1 species
CCUACGGGAGGCAGCAGUGGGGAAUAUUGGACAAUGGGGGAACCCUGAUCCAGCCAUGCCGCGUGUGUGAAGAAGGCCCUCGGGUUGUAAAGCACUUUCAGUGAGGAAGAACGCCUGGUGGUUAAUACCCAUCAGGAAAGACAUCACUCACAGAAGAAGCACCGGCUAACUCCGUGCCAGCAGCCGCGGUAAUACGGAGGGUGCGAGCGUUAAUCGGAAUUACUGGGCGUAAAGCGCGCGUAGGUGGCUUGAUAAGCCGGUUGUGAAAGCCCCGGGCUCAACCUGGGAACGGCAUCCGGAACUGUCAAGCUAGAGUGCAGGAGAGGAAGGUAGAAUUCCCGGUGUAGCGGUGAACUGCGUAGAGAUCGGGAGGAAUACCAGUGGCGAAGGCGGCCUUCUGGACUGACACUGACACUGAGGUGCGAAAGCGUGGGUAGCAAACAGGAUUAGAUACCCCUGUAGUC